UGGGCAACCUGCCCUCAGCACUGGGAUAACCCCGGGAAACCGGGGCUAAUACCGGAUACGACCUCGGCGGGCAUCCGCUGAGGUGGAAAGUGACAGUGGCUGAGGAUGGGCCCGCGGCCUAUCAGCUUGUUGGUGGGGUAACGGCCUACCAAGGCAUCGACGGGUAGCCGGCCUGAGAGGGUGACCGGCCACACUGGGACUGAGACACGGCCCAGACUCCGUACGGGAGGCA
rnacentral:rRNA from 1 species